rnacentral:rRNA from 1 species
AUGUCGGGUCGCGGCAAGGGAGGGAAGGGGCUGGGCAAGGGCGGUGCCAAGCGCCACCGAAAGGUGCUACGUGACAACAUCCAGGGCAUCACCAAGCCGGCGAUACGCCGUCUGGCUCGGAGGGGCGGCGUGAAGCGCAUCUCGGGGCUCAUCUACGAGGAGACCCGCGGCGUGCUCAAGAUCUUCCUCGAGAACGUCAUCCGCGACGCCGUCACCUACACCGAGCACGCUCGCCGCAAGACCGUCACCGCCAUGGACGUCGUCUACGCCCUCAAGCGACAGGGACGCACCCUCUACGGAUUCGGCGGCUAG